GCAGUCCGUUCCACAAAGGAAAAAAACAGCUGAAUAUAACAAAAGCUCAUUCUGAAAAUCAGUCAGGACUGCAUGGUGCAGGUUAUCAAAUGGAUGUCCCUAGAAAUGACAGCCUUGCACAGCGCAAUCAUUUCCACAAUGGAGAAAAACAGCUGAAAGUGGAAAAAGUUGAGUAUGAAAAUCGGAUGCAUGAUCCUGAUUACCAGACGAAUGCUGUUAAAAAAGCUGCCAAGAAGCCGAGUAAACCCUCAAGAAACAAUUAUGAAAAUCCAAUUUAUGCCAACAGCUGUGAGCAUCUGCACCGAAUAUAGGGAGAAAGAAGGGAUGGCAAACACAGCUGUGUAAAUCACCCAAACUGGGGUGCUAGGGCAUCCCUGGGGGCCGCAAGAUGCUUUCCGAAAGGCUGGAGCAUUAAUUCUCCCAAUUUACCCCUGGCACCUGACAAGGCAACGGUGUUUGCUUGAAUGUAACACUUAACUGCCUUGACUUUAUCCCCAGCGGGCAUCAUCCUUCAUUUCCAUGCCCAUUCUAAGAGUGUGUACUGCUGUACAACAAAAGAGAUUGUAAAGACCAAAAACAAUCACAUUGCUAUUGAUUCACUGGGAGGAGGUCCUCAGCCAGGAUGUCAAUGUCAUGGCAAUUUGAUGCAUCGCUGGUUUCACUAUGGGUUUAAUAAGACACACUUGAGUUUGUUACCUAUACACUGUGGCUAAUCAAGCUUGUGGUAAAACCUGGAAUGGGUCAAAUUGCUAUGCAACAGGAGUCUUAUUUCCACCCCUGCCUUAAGAAGUUUACAAGGCUUGAUAUCUUUUUUGUUACAGCAUGAUGCCAUAAUAAUACUGAAUUCACAGGUAAUGCUACAGUUUCUGGGCUUCCAACUUAACUACUGGUGCAUUCACCACUACAAAGGGAACUACAGAAGUAAAAUCAAUGGUGCUGUAGACCAUGGGAGGGCUAUGCAGUCAGCAGGUACAAUUCCUUUCUGGUCACUUUAGCAAGUAAGUUCAUGUGACUGCCAUUGCAUUGAAAGGUGUUUUUUCGCUCUGCUGUCUACUGUGUCACCAAAGCUUUUUUAAUAUUUAACUGGACUGCUUCAUUACGUCGGUUAUUUUUGUCAAUCAUAAUAAUAGAGCUAAUAUAUAAUCACCUGUUGAAUGGAGUGUUUGAUGUACAGCAUGAUGUGAUGCGUUGAUGUGGUAAACUUACUUUCCAAUCACCCUGUAUAGUGUUGAUAUUUGCAUUUUUCUGUUUUUAAUAAUUUUUUUUGCUCUAUUGUUGUUUUGUGUUAAUUUUAAAUAACUUAAUAAAAAAUAAGCUGAAAAAGUAUAUAAUACAUUACAGUACUUCUGAAAUGUUAUAAGCACAGCGUGAUGUAACAGAGAACCUUCAAAUACCGUCCUAUUCAAUAUAUUUUAGAUAGAAAUCUUGAAUACCCUUUAAGACUUCGUGUUGAAACAAACACACACACGCCACAAUGUCUACAAACCACAGCUCCAUCCUGUUUCCAAUGGAGAGUAUGGGGCCAUCUGAACCAUCAUAUCACCAAUAUAGUCCGUUUUCUAGAUUGUUUUUCAUUUUGGCUAUUUGACUAGCAAAUGGGUUAUAUUUUUUUCAUCUUUUCCUCAUAUCCAGCAGAAACGUUCGAUUUUUCCAAUCGCUAUGUCUCCCAUGAGUCACAUGACUAUGUGAUUCCCCCCCAACCAGCUACAACCUGAAUAUAUAAGUUUAAAACACUUUAAACACUUCCAUUUCAAAAAUCAUUUUCAGUUUUGACUUCCUUUUUGCUUUAAAUCCUUUACGAUCCUUGCAAGACGUACAGGAUUCGGCACUGUGUUCCAUGUAAUGUAAGGGCAGUAUGGAAUCAUUCAAUGUUAAUGCUCCCCUUUCAGUUCCCCUCUCUAUGUAUGAGUUGUGCUAAAUCCUUCUUUUAUAUUGUGUAACGCAUUGAAUUUAAUAAACUUGACCAAUUAA